GCCCAACAGACCCAACUUCAACAAUCAGCCGCCCAUGACCCGUCCAGCCCAACACCAUCGUCGACCCGACCCGAUCUCCCCCUUUUAUUUCUCUUCAGCCAAAACCCGGUACUCACCGACGACGUUAUCAACAACAGUCAACAGUUGUUAACAAAUAACGAUGACAACGAGCAACAACGUGCAAAACCCGACCCCCAGACCCGAUUUCGUCACUAACUCAAUACACAAACGACGUAACAGCGACAACCUCAACAACAGCGUACAAUUUCAAUGCUGUAACCACAAGCAGCCAACAACGACGGUAGCACCACAUCAAUAACGACAAAAUUCCAGACGUCUCAUUUACUAUUUUGCCUUGUCAGAUAGUCUUUUAUGGAUAAAAUGCAGAAUGCUCUCAUCUUUUCAGUUGGUGGUUCAUCAAUUUGGGGAAAAAAUCAAUUCACCUCCUUUGACCAAGCAAAGUAACGACUCUUUCCUCCUUCUCUCCACUGAUUUUUGAGUACAAAAUAUGGCCUUUGUCUCACUAUGGAUGUGAAACUUUUUUAAGAAUUGGUUGAAAUUUUAGAUUUGAAAUCCAUCCUUUUUUCAAAAUUCGAAACCCAUUUUCUCCCCCAAUUUAUCUUAUAAAUAGUGGUUGAAGGAUACGGGAAAAGAGGAGGAAUUUUAGGAAAAAAAAGGGUGUUCUGGAGACGCGUGUCUCUAACCUCACGCAACCAAAAAUCCGGAAAGAAAACUCGAAAAAUCAAUUUCCAACGAAUUCAGUUGAACACUAUUGAUUUUGGAAUCUAGUUUUGGCCGUGGUGAAGGUUUCAUCCUUGAAAAACUCGUAAUCCCAUUCGCUGCCCGGGAAAAAGGUUAACACAUCUUCCUUUUUUCUUUUAGUUGAUUGUUCUUCACCGUCUUCUUUAUAGACUUCUCUCGUUAUCAUAAUGGCUGAGACUGUUUAGUUGAUUGUUCUUCACCGUCUUCUUUAUAGACUUCUCUCGUUAUCAUAAUGGCUGAGACUGUUUGCUGUAGGAACUUAGGAUUUUCUUAUAUUUUUUGUCGAUUUGGUGGCUGUGUUCCUGUAGUUCCUAGGCUGCAUCUUAUUAUGUUUCGUUAUUUGUGUUGUUUGGUGGUAUGUCAGAUUUUGAAAUUAUUUAUUCUUUUUCUUGUUUGUUGCGGGAAUGAAAAUUCACUCAACAAGUUAAACUUCUGUGUGGAUUUCUUGAUUUUGUUAAUAAGUAUAUUUUGUCAAAGAGAAAAUUUGCCUUUUUGUUUCUCUGUAUUGCUUGGAAAACAGUGGCUCGGAAGUCGAUUUUCCUUUUUCCAUUGCUUUCCAUAUUGGUUAUUAGUGUUUACGGAUGUACCAAAUAAAUUUUACUUCCUUAGAUUUGCCUUGUCAUUGGUUUUGUUAUUUGAAAUAGAAUAAUGUCUCUCUAAAGUUGGCACGAUUAAUUCAUUCUCUUGCAAAUAAUUCAUUGUGCUGCAUUUGAUCCAUCUUCUACGUGCACGUUGCAAUUGCCGUUUAAAAUUCGAUAUUGUCUUGAAAUUUCUAAACUCUUUUACUCCAUACAAAUUAAUUCUAGAGUUAAUAGUGGACAUAUAUUAAUAACAAUUUUUUAAGUGUUGCUUUCUUAACUAGUUAUAUUAGUACUAUUUGAAUAAAUUCCAAUCUUUAUAUUUUCUUGAUGCACGUGACACCGACUUGAGUCUCAGCGGACUCCAUUUCCUACAUUUCUCGAUGGACUAGGCCUACAUCUUCUACAAGUUCCAAAUGCCUUCAUUUUUGAAGGAACGAGGCUGGUAUACAUUUGUAUAAGCCUGAUAUAUGAGGUUUACAGGUUAAAAGUGGCUGAUAUAAGUCAAGAGAUGACUUAUGGUAAAGCUAGCAAGAAUAAAAGGUUUUCCAUGCUGUUAUACAGCGUAUAUACAGAAAAAAUGCAGUAAAACGAGGCUGAUAUACAGUCAGUAUACAGCUGGUAUACAACUGCAGAAAUGGACCAAAAGUCCAUAAAGAAUGAGCCCAAAAGUUUUCUAGAUUUGGAAAAGGCCCAUCUUUUAAUUCUUCUUAUUCAUCUCCUUGUAAAUCCUAUUUGAUAAUAUGUUUGCCUUAAAUUAUUAAUUUGGUUAACUUUUAUAAAUCCCCUUCGAAUCAUUAUUUUUGUUUAUCUCUGUAUUUUUCCUUUGUUAUUUUAUAGCGUAAUAUUCGAAAUUAAUAAAAAUAUAUCUUUCUUUAUGUUUUUUCUUAAAAUAAUUUUUUCUAAAAAAAAUAAUCAAAUGACAUUUUAUUUUAUCAACGUGUCAAAGUAGUUCAUUUAAGUUAAAAAGAAUUCUCAUCGACCUAAAAUCAAUUUCCUUUGCAAAAAAUAAAAAUAUUUUCACUAAUUAGUCAAGGCUCAUAAUUUGUUUAAAUUGAUAUUUUUCUUUAAAGACAAAUAUUUUUUUAAUCAAAAAUGAUAUGUAAAAAUCACUUUAUUUCUCCCUUUUAUUUGAAAGAAUAAUUUAUGAAAAAAACGGGUUUAGCUCAACCUUCUUUAUAGGAAAUUUUCUCAAGUUAAAUUGGACUAAUUUUCACUUGGUUGACAAAUGUCAUUUUAAGUCUUCAAAAAAUAGUUAAAGGUAAUAUUUUUUAUAAAAUCAAGUCUUCGUAAAAAUUAGCCACGUUUAGUUAGUCAAGUUAGUUCUUUUUGGUAAAUCGUUUUAAACGGACGCUCCUAAGUGCCUUAAAAACCUUCUUAGAGUGUUAAUUGAACCCUUAUCCAGUUCUCUGGUUUUAAAGGCUUAUUUCUGUUAUUGAGCCUUUGAAACUCUUUUUAAGUUUUUUCGUGAUUUUUUCUAUAAAAAUUAAGUGGCGACUCUAUGAAUUUCUUAAAAUUAUUUUGAAUUUUUUUUGAAUCUUUCUCGUCAAAUGAAUCCGUAAAGAAUAAAACAAAGUUUAAGGAGGGUAGGGUUCAAAAGAGGGAUAAAAAUUGAAUGGCUUACGACUUGUGAUGUGUUUGCCAAAGAAAGGUCAAAAGGCUCAAAGUGGGUGACUAGGGAUAACAUUUAUGCGAGGGUAGACUUUUUAGGCUAGAGUGGACUUUCAAUAUCGCAAAGAUGGCCUAGGAUCAUCUCACCAACCAAGUACAAUCAAAAUUAGUCUUGAUAUACUAAUGGGGCAAGUUCUAGAUGGUACAAGUAUACAUGAGAUUUAAACAAAUAAGUUCACCGCACAUGGCAUACAAAUUCGCCAAGGAGGUUCAAUUGCCCCUCCCGUUAGAGACAAAAAUAGAGUACUUACCAAUUUUCACAAGCCAAAAUUUUGGAGUCAUAAAAAGAGAAAAAGUAUUGAUACAAGAUCGCUCAUGUCUGUACCCUUGAUUUUUGGAAAAAAAAUUAGACGGAGGGGGGUGUUUGCUUUCCAUUUGCACCACAUAUAAUUUGCUAAUUAUGGAACCAACAUAAGCCUUCGUCUCACAUGUUGGCUUUCAUACGGGCAAACCAUAUGGAUACUCAGACUUCGCCAUAGGUAUAAUUAGAUCCCAAAUUCAAAAUGCUACAGGUACUCAGAUUUUUCUUGCAUUUAUUACCUCGAUGCUACGGAUACUCAGACUUCCCCUACAUUCAUGGCUCGAAACUCAAUUACAAUGCUUUUCCCUUAAGAAUGUCCUCACUCAAUCUAUCAUAGGAAAAAGCUAGUCCGAUAUCACCAUAACCAAAAUAAAGAUAAAGUAAAAAUGUAAAAACAAACUAAACAACUAAUCCAUGAAACAUGGGCACCAGCAGAGUGCCCAAAAAAUGCAACCCAGAAACAAAAAAUUAAAAAUCAUCCAAAAAGUCAUCAAAACAUCCAAAAAUAUCUAAAUAAUAUAGAUCCGGGGGCAGGCACCCCCUACUGAAAAGCUAGCAGUGUCCUCACUGCAUAAGUAAUAGAGCAUAAAAUAGAGAUAAGGGUGCUCUCUAAAACUGCAUCAGGAGCUGCUUUCGCUUGCGGACUUGCAUCAUCUCAAUCAGCAUCAGCACCGGACUACUCAGUAGGGGCCUCAUCAUCGCUGUCCAUCCUGGGAGAAGGUAGUCUGUCUCAGAAUAUUAGCACUUUCCACAGGCCCUUUACCUCUUUCUACAUCUUACUGAAAAACUUAUCUUUCUUCUUCUCCCUUUUCUUUAUCUUCUCGUGGGAGUCCCGAAGCUUCCUGUGAUACUCUGCCAACGCUGAGUAUGCCCUUUUGAGCCUAGAAAUGGUGGCUUCUUGAGUCUGUUGGUCCUUUGGAUACUUCUCUUAAUUUGAUCGGGACACAAAUGAGUAGCGGGUGGUGGAGGGCUCUCUUUGCCUCUGGGGCAAUACUGACACAAGCCCCUUGAUGACCCUAAUAUCAACACCAAUAUCUUCAAGAGGCCCAACAGUGAAUGGCCUACAUGACUCUGACUUCUCACAUGUCGACUUUCUCAAGUCGAUCUUUCUAUUUUUCCUUUUUCUCGGUGCACCUUAACCCCAAAUUUUGAGAGGAUAAAUAGGGGUUCAGGGCGCACCCAAGUAUCUCCUGGGUAUUCCGCAACCCCAACUCUCCUGAAUAGCUCAGUGAUCAAAGAAUGGAAUAAGAGAUACAUACCACCAGGGUUUCUGAAGAACUGCAUAUCAGAUAUUACCAACAGAUAUCAUCUGACGACCAACAUUUAAAGAAAAGUUGUCGAGUAUGCAGGGAACCAUAUGGGAACGCAAAUCUGUAGUUGCAGUCAAAUGAAUGCAAGGAGAGAUCCGGCUGCAAAUGAUAUUCAGCUAUAUUCGGGCCUCAGUAGUGAAGUCAUUCAUCGAGAUGCCCCUUUUGGUUGCCACCUACAAGACCUCCUUGACUGGGCACAACCUCUCUACCAUCUAGCUUCCCGGCUCACACCCCUUAGCUUCAAUGUCAACUAUGUCUACAUUUGGGAGCCCAUAUAGAUCAUUGAUUUGUUCCACCUCAAAUUACACAUUCCUCCCCAAAUCCUGAUAACUGGGUUUUUAAAAGAUACUAUACUAAGAUUAGCGUAGAACUCUCGCACCCAUUGCUGAUGUGCCCGGCAAGGAUCCAGAGCAAAACAUCUCCACCUAUUAUCCACGAGCCUAUCAUGCAAUGCUGAAAGAUUUUUCGACACCUUCUCCAAACAUAUACUCCUUUCGGGAAGCAACUUUGUCCUUAGAAACUCAUCGUAGUAUUGGUUGUGGCACUUGGGAGUCAUGAAUCAAAUUUGGUCAUAAUUCUCAAUAAUGUAAACCUAAAAAACAUGAGUACAACAAAAAUAUUUAUCAUCAAUAUUUUCAUGCUUAAACUAGACUAUUUUGUCUUAUAAAACUCAUGGGAUGGGUACUUGGUGGUGUUUGACCAAAAAAUCAAAGUGCAGAAAUUUUGGCCUAGGCUGAGAUUCAGCCUUAGUUAUGGCGAUCACAAGCCACUGAGUUGUGAUUAUGGUGCCGCGAUCGUGACUCGAUAACUGUGAUCACUGGUUCCGCAAUCAUGAUCCCGUGACCGCAAUUAAGGUAACUAAGGCUAGAUUGGGCUAGAUUUUCAAAAGCUUCACAAUCCAAUUUUAAGGCCAAAAUAUGUUUGAAAACAACAGUUAAUCAAUAAGCAUAUCAAACAAAACUUCUAAGUUCUUAAUCAUGCCCUCACGAUGUGAAAAUAAUGAGUUAUAGACUCUUUUGGGCAUUUGAUCGGGCACUUGGUGUGCUCUCUAUACUUUACUCAAAUUCACACAUUUUUUGGAUACUCAAGAUUUUCCCACAUGUAUGCACACUAUUUUUAACAGCUUCACCACACAAGUAAGAUUUAACAAGAAUUUAGCAAGGAAAAACAUAGUUUUAGGCCCUACCUAGUUCAUGCACUCUAAGGCCUACUCACAAUAAUUAAAAACAUGAAUUUAAAGCACUUACCGGAAGAGUGAUGCAAGAUGGAUGCAAAGAUGCUUUUGAAAUGCUCAAAAUAUAGACAGGAACAUGUGUAAUUUGAGAGAAAAGUUGGAGGGGGAAUGUGAGGUAAAUAGGAGACCGGUGGUCUUUUAAACCAUGUCUGGCUGCGAUCGCGGUCAAGGUUCGCGAUCGUUGACAAGCGGAUGAUCGUGAUUGCGACAAAGACCCAACAAUCGUGUUAACAGAGGGCAUUUCUACACCUCUAUUUUCCCCUGUUCAGUCCAACAUGCAAAAAUCCCACUCUUACCCUCUUUCAAACUUAUUCAAUGCACUCUAAAGUGCCAUAAAUGCAUGGAUUAAUCAAUGACAAAAUUAAAAUCUACACUACCAAGUUAAAAAGAAAGGAUACGGGCCACUUUAUGGCGUGAUGGGUUGAUUCCCAUCGAGUGCCAAAUUUUAAUGUCGUGGCACGACACACCUUUUCAAGUAUCAUUUAUGUCUCUACUUAGAAGAUUUAAACUGACGUCCCAUCUUGCAACCAUUAUGUUUUGAGCGAAAGUCGGACAAAAGAUUCAAAUAUUCCAAAAUGAGACGAAAUAAAGUUGAGGAGGUAUUGAUGACUUCUCUAUCUCGCCACUUUGAAGACUUGAAUCGUUUACCCAACUUUACAUCAAACUCUCGAGUAGGCUCAUUGGGUAUUAGUAAGAACAUCAAAAGACUACUAGUUGAAUAUUAGAUUUUCAGCUUUCUUGUCUUCAAAUGAGGGACGUCAUCUCUCCCUUUUAAGAUGACAAACUCCAAAAUAUAAGAAUUUUGUACCCCAUUUCUCAAAUUCGCCAUUUGCUUGGGUGUCUUAACUUUCAUCACAUCCAGCAAGCAUAAUGUUUAAAAAUGAUUAGAAUGAGGUCGUUGUCCCAAUUCUGGAUUCGCAUUCAUCUUGAAAUUCUCAUCCGAAAAUGAACUAAGCCCUCACAAUGGAUUUGCUUAGCUUCUUCUUUGGACUCUAGUACCAAUUCCUUUACUGUGGCAUCCUUUAUUAGUUUUUGUUUGUUUGGUUGGCAAAUCACCAAGGAUUCUUCACUAUCAAGCUCAUAAUCAAGCUCAUGGCUUGAUAUCUUUUCUUUAUCAUCCUUAUUUUGAAGAUUGGGCAUAUACAUGACACUUGAAAGAUUGGUCUCCUCACCCACUUCUUAUUUUUCACUGUCCAUUCCAAAUGCCAUCAUGGGUUGAUUCUAGUGAUGCUGUCCUCCUUCAUUGUAGUCACUCGAUCCAUGAGAUUUAGAAGCAUUGCUGCAACAGGAUUGUAUCCGACAUGUUGUUCUUCCUUUAUCACAUCAUGAGACCUAUCAAAAUCAUAAGAACUAACAUUUUUGUUAGCAUAACUAGGGGAGGGGACAUUUGGACAAUCACUCCAAUGUCCAUCUUGACCACUACAGAAAGAACAAUUUUACUCCUUAUAGUAUUGAGAUGGUGCACACACAUUUUUUCGGGGAGCAUAUUUACAAUCUUGACAAAAGUGGGGUCCACCACAAUAUGGACAUGAAUCAUCAAGAUAAAAUUUGCAACCACCAAACUCAUAUUCAUUUCAAGAUGUCAUAGUAAUAAGCAAGUGAAAAUAAAAAUCUACCUAACACAAGAAACAAAAGAAAAUCACAAACAAAUAUUUACUAGUUUGAAUUCAAGAAACUAAGGUAAAAUUCAAACUAACUCAAUACGUCAAAUUAUUCUCCGACAAUGACGUCAUUUUUGAUAACACUGAACUCACACGUCAAUUUAAGUGCAAAGAGAUCAUUGUCAGUAUAUUACUCAACUUUGAGUCGGGAUCAAAUCCACGAGGAAUAAUGUAACUGAUGAUUGAGUAAGUUCAAAGUGAAAGUUAUUUGCUAAAUUCAAACCUAGGAUACAAGUAGUUUGGGAGAUGUUAAGAGAAUUCAAAAAGAUAACAAAUUGGAUUUCUAACUGACUAAUUUGAGGUUGAGAAUAAUUAGAGCGUAAUCAAUUAGGAACAGAUCUUGGGGCUAUGGUUUACUAGGGACAACUAGUGUGCGGGUACAUGAAAAUCAACUCCAAAUCUUAGCUAAAGUAUGCGUGGGUAGGCUCAGUUAGGGAUUUUGAUACCAUCCAUUCAAUAAAGUACCAAACUAUCAGCUAAGGAUUCUUUCGAAUACCUCGUGGGUGUGGUCAACCAAUCGUUACCAAACCUCAAUUGGGCAUUCCUAUUUCUAAGAAAAUGCCCAAAAUAUAACAAUUCCACAUUUUAUCCUUAUUUCUAAGACAAUAAAAAAAGAGUAACUAUUAUCUAUCUUAUUAUUCACAAAUCCUCAUGUUACCCACAUCCCUCUUUCAAGGAUGGCGUGGUGUUUAGAGAUAUUAAGACUUUCACCAACAAAUUCCAUUUUGCGCCCUAUUCAAUCAAGAAUUUAAGCUAACAAUCACAACCCACACACAUUUGCGCCCUAUUCAAACAUAACCCCAAGAGGGAGAACUAACUACUCAUAAGGAUAAUAAAUAAAGACAUACCAAAAUCUCCAUCAAAUAGAUUCAUGAAAGAUAAAGAAGAUGCGAAUUCAAACUUUAAGUUUCAAUAAAUCUUAAGUGGAAAAUGCUAAUCCUUCACUUAGAAGUUACUCUAAUGUAUUCUUCACCCUAUACUGGAAGAGAUUUCCAAAAAUUGGGAAUUUUUCUCUAUGAGAGAGGGUUUGGUCUCUUAAGGAAAUUGGGGACGGCUGUUGUGAAAUUACAAAACUGCCGCGUUGCCACGAUUGCUGACAUUUGUCCGUAAUCGUGGAUGCUGCAUCCGCGGUUAAAAACUCGCGAUCGCGCUUCUUUAACCUAGCAUUACUGGCUGCGAUCAUGGUCUGAGGACGACGAUCGCGGUAAUUGAGGCUGGUUUCUGCUUCAAGUCUUCUAGCUGUACUUCUUUUCUUCUUUUUGAUCCUUUUUAGCUUUAAUCCACAUCUUUCCAUCUCAUUUUUUGAUCCUUUUUAGCUUUAAUCCAUAUCUUUCCAUCUCAUAACUUGUCUGUCUGCAAAAUGUAAAAAUUAGUGCAUUUAAUCGCAAAUAUGUCUCAUUUAUACAUUCAAUUCAUAGUAGCGGGCAAGAAUGUUGAGUGCAAAUGAGUGGUAAAUUUGCCAUUCAUCAUCCACCAUUUUCACCAUCUUUGAAGCUUGAUAACUCGAAUUUGAGCAUUUUCAAAGAAAUUUUUGAGAUUUUCUUCAUGGGUAUGUUUCUAAACAUUGUAUUAUUAUUUUUCACGGAUUUCACUAUCAAUUUACCUUUAAAUCUUCAAUUCUAAAUUUUAUUUUGCAAUUUUCAUGAUAAAGUUUAAAAAUAAUAUUUUUUCAAUUUGGACCUCAUUUUUAAUUUAUUUUUACAUGAAUUUUCAGUUUUAGGUUCCUAAUGUAAUAAAAAUGUGUUUGCAAAAAUAAACUUUCAGUUUAAUCCUUUUUUAUUCGGGAUUAAUUUUUGCAUUUUUUGUAAAUUCGAAAUAAAUAUAGUUGGUGUGAGUAUCAUUGAGCCCUUUUUUGACUUAUAAAUGUCAUAUUUGAUUGGAUUGGACGCAUUUGGUGUUGAUUCAAGAGAGUUGGGAUUUCAAUUGAGGUUUUAGACUACAUUUGAAUUUGCGGAUCUUAAUUUAAGGCAUGCUAAGAUGUUCAUUGACUUUUUUCCGAAGUGUUUAUGUAUUGUAUGUUUGUUUAAUUUUUUUUUUUUGUGUAUCGCUUAGGAUUGUGGGUCCCACUUAGGUGAAAUGACGAGCAUCCCCUUGGAUACCGGAGUCUUUGAUGGAUUGUCGUUGGAUUAUUACCUUGAUUACUUAGUACUACUAUUAUUAAAUAUUCUUAGAUUGAAAUGUAGAUAGAUAACCUAGUGAUUCUCAAAUAAUGAAGAAUGGAUUGUCAUUUUAGAGCUUGAAUCUUGUUAGCGAACUUUAUUUGGAUGAUAGUGGGUUAGUGCCUUGUUAGGGGAUAAUUAUGUUAUUAUCAUCAUUAUUUUGAUGGAAUGAUUGAAUAUUUAGAGAAUACUUAGAGUAUGAAUAUACUUGUAAUAGCUGAUGAGAGUUAAUGAAUGGGCCAAGUUAGGUUUGGGUAGUCCGCAAUUUAUUAUAAUUGAGAUUGUUAUUUAUUUUGUGAUGCUCGUGUCGGGCUUAUGUGAACUUCAUUAUGGACUUGAGUAGUUAUUUGUGAUUGUAUAUCCGGGUAGGGGCUUAUAUGCAUAUUGCUUUUAAUUUGAGAGGAUAUACUAUUGUGAUGCUCGAGUGGGGGCUUGACUUGAUGUUGUUAGUCAUGUUUUGUUCAUUAAAUGACUAAUUUAUUAUUGCAUCUUUCGAGUGGAGGCUUGAUUUGACAUUGUAGUCCUUAUAUGAGUAUUUAAUUGCAUAUUCAUUACAGUGAUGUCCGACUGAGGAGUUGGGAGUGAUAAUAUUAAUGACCACAUGACUAUUUAUUUUGGUGGUGCCAAGUGGAGGAACGGAAUGAAGAAUAGAAGGAAUAUGGAUCAUAUCUUUAAUCAUUAGAUAUUAGUCAUUUGAGGAUGAUUUGUGUUUAGGAUAGAGAUAUAUCUAAACACUCCACGUGAUUAAUGAAACGAGAAUAUUGCUUAAUGCAUCUAUAUUAAAGACUCACUUCCUCGCUCAAUAAUGUAAUUUUGAAACUAAUUUGGAUAGAUAACUUAGAGGAUGAUCAUUCUCAAGUAAUAAUAUCAACCCCAUAAAUCAGUAACCACGAUAAACACCAACAUCAACUAAGUAGAAUUAGCUGUUAAUGGUUCAAUUAGCUGUUAUAGAGAGAUAAUUUUACAAAGAGUGUACUGCUGUAAUAAACAUCAUUACUGUUAUAGGUAGAAUUUCGUUAUAGAGAAGUAAAAUAUAACAAAAAAAUUAAUUUCGGAGAAAAU
rnacentral:lncRNA from 1 species